rnacentral:tRNA from 1 species
GGGGGUGCAGCUCAGAGGUAAAGCACAUGCUUAGCAUGCACGAGAGGCCCUGGGUUCAAUCCCCAGUACCUCUG